GGCGCUGUCGUCUAGAGGCCUAGGACAUCGGAUUCUCAUUCCGAUAACUCGGGUUCGAAUCCCGACAGCGUCA
rnacentral:tRNA from 3 species